GGCAGAGGGUGCAAACGUUGUUCGGAAUUACUGGGCGUAAAGCGUGUGUAGGCGGCUUUGCAAGUCGGAUGUGAAAGCCCCGGGCUCAACCCGGGAAGUGCACUCGAUACUGCAGAGCUUGAGUGUCGGAGAGGUUGGUGGAAUUCUCGGUGUAGAGGUGAAAUUCGUAGAUAUCGAGAGGAACACCGGCGGCGAAGGCGGCCAACUGGACGACUACUGACGCUGAGGCGCGACAGCGUGGGGAGCAAACAGG
rnacentral:rRNA from 1 species